rnacentral:rRNA from 1 species
ACGUACGCUGGCGGCAGGCCUAACACAUGCAAGUCGAGCGCUACCUUCGGGUGGAGCGGCGGACGGGUUAGUAACGCGUGGGAAUAUACCCAGUUCUAAGGAAUAGCCACUGGAAACGGUGAGUAAUACCUUAUACGCCCUUCGGGGGAAGAUUUAUCGGAAUUGGAUUAGCCCGCGUUAGAUUAGAUAGUUGGUGGGUAAUGGCCCACCAAGGCAACGACGGGUAGCUGGUCUGAGAGGAUGGUCAGCCACACUGGGACUGAGACACGGCCCAGACUCCUACGGGAGGCAGCAGUGGGGAAUCUUAG